rnacentral:rRNA from 1 species
UUAAGCGACUAAGCGUACACGGUGGAUGCCCUGGCAGUCAGAGGCGAUGAAGGACGUGCUAAUCUGCGAUAAGCGUCGGUAAGGUGAUAUGAACCGUUAUAACCGGCGAUUUCCGAAUGGGGAAACCCAGUGUGAUUCGUCACACUAUCAUUAACUGAAUCCAUAGGUUAAUGAGGCGAACCGGGGGAACUGAAACAUCUAAGUACCCCGAGGAAAAGAAAUCAACCGAGAUUCCCCCAGUAGCGGCGAGCGAACGGGGAGCAGCCCAGAGCCUGAAUCAGUGUGUGUGUUAGUGGAAGCGUCUGGAAAGGCGCGCGAUACAGGGUGACAGCCCCGUACACAAAAAUGCACAUGCUGUGAGCUCGAUGAGUAGGGCGGGACACGUGGUAUCCUGUCUGAAUAUGGGGGGACCAUCCUCCAAGGCUAAAUACUCCUGACUGACCGAUAGUGAACCAGUACCGUGAGGGAAAGGCGAAAAGAACCCCGGCGAGGGGAGUGAAAAAGAACCUGAAACCGUGUACGUACAAGCAGUGGGAGCACAGAGCAAUCUGUGUGACUGCGUACCUUUUGUAUAAUGGGUCAGCGACUUAUAUUCUGUAGCAAGGUUAACCGAAUAGGGGAGCCGAAGGGAAACCGAGUCUUAACUGGGCGUUAAGUUGCAGGGUAUAGACCCGAAACCCGGUGAUCUAGCCAUGGGCAGGUUGAAGGUUGGGUAACACUAACUGGAGGACCGAACCGACUAAUGUUGAAAAAUUAGCGGAUGACUUGUGGCUGGGGGUGAAAGGCCAAUCAAACCGGGAGAUAGCUGGUUCUCCCCGAAAGCUAUUUAGGUAGCGCCUCGUGAAUUCAUCUCCGGGGGUAGAGCACUGUUUCGGCAAGGGGGUCAUCCCGACUUACCAACCCGAUGCAAACUGCGAAUACCGGAGAAUGUUAUCACGGGAGACACACGGCGGGUGCUAACGUCCGUCGUGAAGAGGGAAACAACCCAGACCGCCAGCUAAGGUCCCAAAGUCAUGGUUAAGUGGGAAACGAUGUGGGAAGGCCCAGACAGCCAGGAUGUUGGCUUAGAAGCAGCCAUCAUUUGAGAAAGCGUAAUAGCUCACUGGUCGAGUCGGCCUGCGCGGAAGAUGUAACGGGGCUAAACCAUGCACCGAAGCUGCGGCAGCGACGCUGAUGCGUUGUUGGGUAGGGGAGCGUUCUGUAAGCCUGCGAAGGUGUGCUGUGAGGCAUGCUGGAGGUAUCAGAAGUGCGAAUGCUGACAUAAGUAACGAUAAAGCGGGUGAAAAGCCCGCUCGCCGGAAGACCAAGGGUUCCUGUCCAACGUUAAUCGGGGCAGGGUGAGUCGACCCCUAAGGCGAGGCCGAAAGGCGUAGUCGAUGGGAAACAGGUUAAUAUUCCUGUACUUGGUGUUACUGCGAAGGGGGGACGGAGAAGGCUAUGUUGGCCGGGCGACGGUUGUCCCGGUUUAAGCGUGUAGGCUGGUUUUCCAGGCAAAUCCGGAAAAUCAAGGCUGAGGCGUGAUGACGAGGCACUACGGUGCUGAAGCAACAAAUGCCCUGCUUCCAGGAAAAGCCUCUAAGCAUCAGGUAACAUCAAAUCGUACCCCAAACCGACACAGGUGGUCAGGUAGAGAAUACCAAGGCGCUUGAGAGAACUCGGGUGAAGGAACUAGGCAAAAUGGUGCCGUAACUUCGGGAGAAGGCACGCUGAUAUGUAGGUGAAGUCCCUCGCGGAUGGAGCUGAAAUCAGUCGAAGAUACCAGCUGGCUGCAACUGUUUAUUAAAAACACAGCACUGUGCAAACACGAAAGUGGACGUAUACGGUGUGACGCCUGCCCGGUGCCGGAAGGUUAAUUGAUGGGGUCAGCGCAAGCGAAGCUCUUGAUCGAAGCCCCGGUAAACGGCGGCCGUAACUAUAACGGUCCUAAGGUAGCGAAAUUCCUUGUCGGGUAAGUUCCGACCUGCACGAAUGGCGUAAUGAUGGCCAGGCUGUCUCCACCCGAGACUCAGUGAAAUUGAACUCGCUGUGAAGAUGCAGUGUACCCGCGGCAAGACGGAAAGACCCCGUGAACCUUUACUAUAGCUUGACACUGAACAUUGAGCCUUGAUGUGUAGGAUAGGUGGGAGGCUUUGAAGUGUGGACGCCAGUCUGCAUGGAGCCGGCCUUGAAAUACCACCCUUUAAUGUUUGAUGUUCUAACGUUGACCCGUGAUCCGGGUUGCGGACAGUGUCUGGUGGGUAGUUUGACUGGGGCGGUCUCCUCCUAAAGAGUAACGGAGGAGCACGAAGGUUGGCUAAUCCUGGUCGGACAUCAGGAGGUUAGUGCAAUGGCAUAAGCCAGCUUGACUGCGAGCGUGACGGCGCGAGCAGGUGCGAAAGCAGGUCAUAGUGAUCCGGUGGUUCUGAAUGGAAGGGCCAUCGCUCAACGGAUAAAAGGUACUCCGGGGAUAACAGGCUGAUACCGCCCAAGAGUUCAUAUCGACGGCGGUGUUUGGCACCUCGAUGUCGGCUCAUCACAUCCUGGGGCUGAAGUAGGUCCCAAGGGUAUGGCUGUUCGCCAUUUAAAGUGGUACGCGAGCUGGGUUUAGAACGUCGUGAGACAGUUCGGUCCCUAUCUGCCGUGGGCGCUGGAGAACUGAGGGGGGCUGCUCCUAGUACGAGAGGACCGGAGUGGACGCAUCACUGGUGUUCGGGUUGUCAUGCCAAUGGCACUGCCCGGUAGCUAAAUGCGGAAGAGAUAAGUGCUGAAAGCAUCUAAGCACGAAACUUGCCCCGAGAUGAGUUCUCCCUGACUCCUUGAGAGUCCUGAAGGAACGUUGAAGACGACGACGUUGAUAGGCCGGGUGUGUAAGCGCAGCGAUGCGUUGAGCUAACCGGUACUAAUGAACCGUGAGGCUUAACCUU